ACCAACUUCAAAUCCUGUUUCAAACAUCUUAAAAAAAAUUGGUGCUGGAAACAAAAGCAAGAGAAACUUAAUCUGGAGACAUGGGAAUAGAAGAGCCCUUUGGCAAAGAAUCACACAAGUAUGUCUGGAGAAGAGCAAAAUCCUAGAGUCACACAGGAGCUGACUGCAGAGCUGGGUCUCAUCUUUCCACAAACAACCCCUCAGCACCCCAGGGGUACUGCUGGGGAGAAGAGAGACAGUUGCCAACUGCUUCAGUUAUGGAGGACUGGGGUUGUGCAGAUGUCCACAGAUGUAAAAUUGCUCCUUAAACUGCUCCCAGAUAAAUAGGUCAGCAAGUGGUUACUUCCUAAGCACUUUGGAUUCCUCAGAAACCAAUUAUUUUUAUUUCAGAAGCUGUGACUCCUAGUAAGCCUGUGCCUAGCUCAGAAGUGUAGCUGAAAGCAUCAGUACUCUAAAUUAAGAGCAAGAUCUAAUUGAUUAGUUUCACAAAAAUAUGAGAGCCAAACUGAAGCAAUAUGCAAGUUUUCAUUGCCUUGACUCUUUAAAGCAUAAAUGCUUGGUUUUUAAUAUUGCUUCUCAAUAAAUAUUCUUUUU
rnacentral:lncRNA from 1 species